GCUGGGGUACAGCUCAGUGUUAGAGUGCUUGCUUAGUAAGCAGAAGGCCCUGGGUCUGAUUCCCAGCACUACCA
rnacentral:tRNA from 1 species